rnacentral:rRNA from 1 species
GAUGAACGCUGGCGGCGUGCUUAACACAUGCAAGUCGAACGAAGCACUGAAAGCAGAUUACUUCGGUUUGAAGCUUUCUUUGACUGAGUGGCGGACGGGUGAGUAACGCGUGGGUAACCUGCCUCAUACAGGGGGAUAACAGUUAGAAAUGACUGCUAAUACCGCAUAAGCGCACGGGACUGCAUGGUCUUGUGUGAAAAACUCCGGUGGUAUGAGAUGGACCCGCGUCUGAGUAGCUUGUUGGUGAGGUAACGGCCCACCAAGGCGACGAUCAGUAGCCGGCCUGAGAGGGUGAACGGCCACAUUGGGACUGAGACACGGCCCAA